CGCGCCAGUGCAAAUGGAUUGCCGACCAAGCCUUCGAUGGUGGCGACGGCGAUGUGGAAAUUCUGCUGCGCUUCCUGCUCACGCAGGCGCGCUUGCGCAACGGAAGCCUGCGCAUCGAGGACUUCAAGAAGGGAAAAACGCCCCUGCCCAUAACCUUCGAGGAUCGCAUCUGAUGCCUGCCGCGACUUCGGAAUCGCCGUUUCACGAAGAAUGGCGAGUUCGCGUAGCGCCCCCUGAAGGGAAUCGUAGGCUCGUCCUGCGAUCACGAUUAGCGCGUUGC
rnacentral:misc_RNA from 1 species